ACCAUUUUGAUAGUAGAGGUUAUUAUGUAAUAAUAAGGUGUAUUAUACCAGAGUAAUACCAGAUUCAUAGCCAUUAAUGGCUUAAAUUUAGUAUAGGGUGCAUUUGGGUACUAUUACACUGAAAGCUUUUGAAAGUAUUCGCCACUAUUAUCAGAUUAUUACCUAACUAUUACCAUGGUGUUACCGAGCUGUGGUGUCAAUAGAAUUAUCAACCUAUCCAUUCAUAUUCAUCUUCUUUGCAAGCUUUAAUCCUGUUUUUCACCUCACAGAUUUACAGCUUGACCAUUUAUUUAAUGAUAAACACUACUUCACCUAAGAGACUUGAGUAUCCAGUUCUUCGUUGACCUUCAGAAUUCAGUUGUUUGUCUUCACCUUUUCAGGCUAAAACCUGAGAAGCCAUCACCAUGUUGUUGUUUCACAUCAGAGUUUCCUGUGUCCAGCAUCUUCAAGACAGACUAAGCUAACUUUUCAUAUUUUUUGCACAUUUAUAUUUAGGUUAGGUUAGGAGUAGGUUAGGUUUAUAGUAGAGUAUUUAGUUUGUAUAGUUUAGCUUUUUAUGCUGGUCUAGGGACAGUUAAGUUAGCAAAUUAAUUUAGUUCAAAUCACUCACAGUUGCAUAUUAUUGUUACAAUGGUGUUAUUUUGUGAGUUAUUGUUGUACAGGCUAUUGUAUAUUGCAGGACCAAGUGAGACGAGGAAGACCACUGCUUCCAAGAUGCCUCUCAGAAAGUGCGUUGGACAAGUCUCGACCUUGCAGAUCCUGCCCCACUUAGCCCAACCACUUCCGACCAUGGGGUGCCUCAAAGACCUCCGUCAACCAGCCGGCUGUGGAUGAUGGAUAACGCACCCACAACUCCUUCUCCAGUCUACAAGGAUUUGAGACACCCCCACAGUCCAAGAACAGCUGGAUGACCUCUGGACCCACUUGCCCCCCUUUCACCAGUUGAAAAGAUAGGCUUUUUAAAAAAUUCUUCAAUUGUUAAUUCUGCACAAAGUGAUACACAAAACAUUGUAUGUCUUCCAUUUCAACAAACACAAACAUGAAAUGUAGAUUUAAAUACAUGACUUAAUGCAAAUCAAUCAUACGAAUACGAAUACGAAAACUUUAUUAUCCACUGAGUGGAAAUUCCUCUUUGGUUUCACCAUAGACAUGUCUCAAAACAAACAGAAUAAAUAGUAAAACAAUAAAGAAAAACAUUUCAAGGAUAGAAAAAUAUAAAAUAGCCAACAGCAAUAACUGUACUUCACACAGCACCCAUUCAAGUACAAAAUUUCAUAAAAGCACACCACAGUACAAAUCAAGUUUACAAAUGUAGGUCUAAGACCUGCCUUAUUCAGAGAACCUGCUUUGCAUGGAAACCCUCAGCAAAGGAAACAACAGAAGUAAACAGGGUAAAUAUCUACCGCAUUCUGGUCUUAUUUAUAGCGUUGACAGCUUCUGGGAUAAAGGACUUUUUGUGCAGGUUCUUCCUUGCCAUCGGUAGCCUAUACCGCUUCCCCGAAGGUAAAAGCUCAAAUUCGCUGUACAUGGGAUGAGAGGAGUCAUUAAUUAUCUUCUCAGCUUUACUUCUAAUUAAUUAUUCAUAAAGACAGCUCAAAUGUUUCUGUGGCUUCCCUAAAAUCUUAGAGGCCAUGUUCACUAUUCUCUGCAGUUUGUUUCUUCCUUUAAUAUUUAGGUUUCCAUACCACAUGAUCAUAUUAAAUGAUAAAAUACUUUCCACCAGGCUCUUAUACACGGUUUCUAGAAUACUUUGACUCACUGCAAAACUGUUAAGCUUGCGUAGCAAGUGGAGGCGUUGUGAACAUUUUUUAAAAAUAUGAUCCGUAUUGAUUUGAAAGGUAAGAUGAAUGUCGAUGUAUGUGCCCAAAUUUUUAAAAUCAUCGACCAUUUCAACCAUUUGUCCACCUAUAUUUACUGGCCUCAUAAUAUUUUUGUUAUUCUGUAAGAUUAGCUCCUUGGUCUUAAGAACAUUUAUUUCCAAGGAGCUGGCUGAACACCAUUUUUGAAAGCUCAGUACAUGAUUAAAAUACAGGUUCUCUGUUUCAAUAUCACCCUCCUGCAGUAGAGCAACCAACGCCAUGUCAUCUGCAUAUUUAAAUAAACGGAAACGUGCUUGAUCAAUACUGAAAUUGUUUGUGUAAACAGAAAAGAGAGAGGGUGAAAAAAUUGUGCCCUGUGGUGCUCCUGUGUUCAGUACCAUCUCAUCAGAAACACUACCAUUUACAUGGACUCUUUGUGGGCGAUCAGAGAGGAAAUCUCUGAUCCAAUGGAUAAUACCACCAUUAACCCCGAGCUCUAUGAGUCGCUGCAACAGGAUAUGUAUUUGCAUAGUAUUAAAAGCGGACGUAAAGUCAAUAAAAAUAAUUCUGGCGUAGUGUGUGGGGACUUGUAAAUGCUUUGCUAUGGUGUUGAACAAGGUUACAGUCGCAUCAUCUGUGCCCCUCUUACUUUUAUAUGCGAACUGUAGAUGGUCCAGGCUGUUCGAUACAGAGGCUAUCAUAUGUCGACUUAAAACUCUCUCCAUGCACUUGCCUAAAAUAGAGGUGAGUGCAAUGGGCCUAAAAUCUUUUAGUUCUGAAGCACCUGGCUUUUUAGGAAUGGGCACAAUGUUAGAAGUUUUCCAAAUUUUAGGUACUGUACCCAAGUCAAGCAGGAGCUGAAAUAGCUUAGUCAAAACUCCUUUUAAUUGCAUAGUGCAAUCUUUUAACACUCCGACACGCCUCUAAGGCCAUCAGGCCCUGGGUUCUUAUUGGGUUUUAUACAUGCCAGACUUGAGGCAAUUUCGUGUUCUGUGAGUGUCACUGAAACAUACUGUGGAAUAGAGUUAGACACUUCAUCUCGCUCAGUACAAAAAUUUUCCUUAUCAAAUCGGCUAUAAAAUACAUUUAAUUCAUUAGCCCAGGAUGGAGAGAGGUGGGUCACAGGGGCAUGUUUUUGCUUUGCCUCCCUCCCCAUCAUUUGAUUUAAACCUUCCCAUGCUCUUUUAGCACUACCAGAGUAGAAAUGUUUCUCUACUUUGUCCUUGUACUCUGUUUUUGCUUUUUUCAAUUUAGCUCUUAGUUCACAUCUCUUCUCUUUAACAAGUUCUGUGCUUCCGUUAACAAAGGCAAGUUUUUUCUGAUUUAUACAGUUCUUUAAAUCACUGGUUACCCAUAAUUUGUUAUUCGGAUAUAUUUUAACUGUUUUUGUAAGGAUUAUGUUACUUUCACAGAACAUUAUAUAGGAUGUGAUAGUGUCUGUCAGUUCAUGUGGGUUAUCACAAAAGUCAAAGAAGAUCUGCCACUCCGUGUCCUCCAGACAGUCUCUAAGUUCCUCCUUACAAUCAUCUGACCACAUCUGUAUAUCCUUAUGCACUGGCUUUUCCCGUUUCAGCUUCGCCCUGUAGCGUGGGAGCAGGUGUAUGACGUUAUGGUCAGACUUUCCCAGGGCAGGACUACAGAUGGAUUUAUAGGCAUCGGGUAAAUUGCCAUAGCACUUAUCCAGG